rnacentral:rRNA from 1 species
AACGAACGCUGGCGGCAUGCCUAACACAUGCAAGUCGAACGAAGGCUUCGGCCUUAGUGGCGCACGGGUGCGUAACGCGUGGGAACCUGCCCCUUGGUUCGGAAUAACUCAGGGAAACUUGAGCUAAUACCGGAUGACGACUUCGGUCCAAAGAUUUAUCGCCGAGGGAUGGGCCCGCGUAGGAUUAGCUAGUUGGUGGGGUAAAGGCCUACCAAGGCGACGAUCCUUAGCUGGUCUGAGAGGAUGAUCAGCCACACUGGGACUGAGACACGGCCCAGACUCCUACGGGAGGCAGCAGUGGGGAAUAUUGGACAAUGGGCGAAAGCCUGAUCCAGCAAUGCCGCGUGAGUGAUGAAGGCCUUAGGGUUGUAAAGCUCUUUUACCCGGGAUGAUAAUGACAGUACCGGGAGAAUAAGCUCCGGCUAACUCCGUGCCAGCCGCCGCAGUAACAC